GUGCUUGAGUGGCGAACGGGUGAGUAACACGUGAGUAACCUGCCCUUGACUUUGGGAUAACUUCAUGAAACUGGGGCUAAUACCGGAUAGGAGCUCCUGCUGCAUGGUGGGGGUUGGAAAGUUUCGGCGGUUGGGGAUGGACUCGAGGCUUAUCAGCUUGUUGGUGGGGUAGUGGCUUACCAAGGCUUUGACGGGUAGCCGGCCUGAGAGGGUGACCGGCCACAUUGGGACUGAGAUACGGCCCAG
rnacentral:rRNA from 1 species